rnacentral:rRNA from 1 species
CUUAUAAUUGAAGGCUGGAAUGAACGGUUUGACAAGAAUACACCUGUCUCUUUUAGAUUUAUUAGAAUUUUAUUUCUGGGUGAAAAAGCCCAGAUAUGAUUAAAAGACAAGAAGACCCUAUCGAGCUUUAGGAAAAUUAAUAGAAUUAAUUUAGGCUAAUAUAGGUAAAAGGAAGACUAUUAAAAUACUUUGGUUGGGGCAACCGAGGAGUAAGCAAAGCCUCCUUUAAGUAGUAAAUCUUACUUGUAUUGAUCCAAAAUUUUUGAUCAAAGGAAUUAGUUACCGUAGGGAUAACAGCAUUAUCUUUUUCAAGAGCCCAUAUCGAAAAAAAGGUUUGUGACCUCGAUGUUGGACCAGAAUAUCCUAAAGAUGCAGAAGUCUUUAAGGGUUGGUCUGUUCGACCAUUAAAAUUCUACGUGAUCUGAGUUCAGACCG